AACGAACGCUGGCGGCAGGCUUAACACAUGCAAGUCGAACGCCCCGCAAGGGGAGUGGCAGACGGGUGAGUAACACGCGGGAACAUGCCCAAAGGUACGGAAUAUUCUCGGGAAACUGGGAGCAAUACCGUAUGUGCCCGAAAGGGGAAAGAUUUAUCGCCUUUGGAUUGGCCCGCGUUGGAUUAGCUAGUUGGUGGGGUAAAAGCCUACCCAGGCGACGAUCCAUAGCUGGUCUGAGAGGACGACCAGCCACACUGGGACUGAGGCACGGCCCAGACUCCUACGGGAGGCAGCAGUGGGGAAUCUUGGACAAUGGGCGCAAGCCUGAUCCAGCCAUGCCGCGUGGGUGAUGAAGGCCCUAGGGUUGUAAAACUCUUUCGUGGGGGACGAUAAUGACGGUACCCCAAGAAGAAGCUCCGGCUAACUUCGUGCCAGCCGCCGCAGUAACAC
rnacentral:rRNA from 1 species